UACGUAGGGUGCGAGCGUUGUCCGGAAUUAUUGGGCGUAAAGGGCUCGUAGGCGGUUUGUCGCGUCGGGAGUGAAAACCUCGGGCUUAACUCGGGGCUUGCUUUCGAUACGGGCAGACUAGAGGUAUGCAGGGGAGAACGGAAUUCCUGGUGUAGCGGUGAAAUGCGUAGAGAUCCGGAGGAACCCCAGAGGCGAAGGCGGCGUCCUGGCCCCAUUUCUGACGUUCAGACAUGACAGCAUGGGGAGCGAACGGG
rnacentral:rRNA from 1 species